AAUAAUUUACUAAAAAUGGUGUGUUACAACUCUCCUCCACUUAAAUAAUUUUCGCCCUAAAAAAUUACAAAUUCUUAUAUUUACUUCAUUUUCUAACUCCUAAUCUUCCAAACCACACAUGUACCCUUGCAAUAGCGCCAUGCUGAACCAACUCUCCACACCUGAAACAUCUUAGAGAAGUAGAAGCUUCUCUCUCACUUGUUUCAAACUCGUUCCUGCAAACAAGUGGUUAGAAAAAUAAAUGACUACCGAUAGUGUUUUCACACAUAUGUCGCAUACAAGGG
rnacentral:lncRNA from 1 species